AGGUGAUUUGAGUUGAACAUUCCGUUGCCAGUAGCAACUAUUGCUGGUGCAGUGACGAUCGCAUGCUGAAUCGGAGACAACUGGACCCGUUUCAGUUCCUUGAAGACAUUUCACUUCUCAUCCAAGAGGCGUCUUCAGGUCUAACUAACUGGAUGGGAGUUGCAGACUUGCAAACUUUGUGUGGGAGUGUCCUUAUGGAGGUAUUCAUGGGUCACUGACCCAACUGGUCUUCAUGUUGGUUUCUAGGACCAGGUCAGCACUGUAGGAGGAAGUCCAUUCAACAACAUCCUAAAAGACUCAUUCCACCUCGUCCAUCACCUGUUUGAACUGUUGCCCUCCGUCAUACAGUUACUGUUUAAUUUGGAGGAAACGCGGAUUAAACAUGUACAACACAUCCAGGGUGGAAUAGGAGUGGACACAUGGGCACAAAAUGGAGGAAACACAAAACUAUUGGGAAUGAAAUCAAGUCAACAUGCUGAUCCAGAUGGGAGACAAGAACUGAAGCUGCAGUUGAAUGGGCCUUGUGGUUACAUCCUGUCAGCUAUCAGCUAAAAGAUAUUCUGUGCUAUUCAUCCGCUGUGUCAACAACCACCUCCCUGCUGAAGCUCAGCUCACAGUUUCUC